GACAAAAAUGUUAAAUAGCCGCGGUAUUUUGACCGUGCAAAGGUAGCAUAAUCAUUAGUUUUUUAAUUGAAAACUUGUAUGAAUGGUUGGACAAAGAAAAAGCUGUCUCUUUUAUUUGAAUUGAAAUUAACUUCUAAGUGAAAAGGCUUAGAUUUUUUAGAGGGACGAUAAGACCCUAUAAAGCUUUAUAAGUUAAGUAAGUUAAAUUAAUUUUUUUAAAUAAAAAUAAGCUUAAAAAAUUUAUUUGGUUGGGGCGACAAUGGUAUAAAUUAAAUAACUGCUAUUAAAAUUAAGCAAUUAUAUUUGAUUAGAAUUAUAAUUGAUCCUUAUUAUGGAUUAAAAGAUCAAGUUACUUUAGGGAUAACAGCGUAAUUUCUUUUGAGAGUUCUUAUCAAAGAAGAAGUUUGCGACCUCGAUGUUGAAUUAAAAUGUCUUUAUAGUGCAGAAGCUAUAAAAGAAGGUCUGUUCGACCUUUAAUUUUUUACAUGAUCUGAGUUCAGACCGGA
rnacentral:rRNA from 1 species